rnacentral:rRNA from 1 species
GUGAGGAAUUUUCCGCAAUGGGCGAAAGCCUGACGGAGCAAUGCCGCGUGAAGGAUGAAGGCCUAUGGGUUGUAAACUUCUUUUCUCAGAAAAGAAUUAUGACGGUAUCUGAGGAAUAAGCAUCGGCUAACUCUGUGCCAGCAGCCGCGGUAAGACAGAGGAUGCAAGCGUUAUCCGGAAUGAUUGGGCGUAAAGCGUCUGUAGGUUGUUUAAAAAGUAUUCUGUCAAAGAUUAGGGCUUAACCCUAGAUAGGCAGAAUAAACUUUUAAGCUAGAGUUUGGUCGAGGCGGAGGGAAUUCCCGGUGGAGCGGUGAAAUGCGUAGAUAUCGGGAGGAACACCAAAGGCGAAGGCACUCUGCUGGGCCAAUACUAACACUGAGAGACGAAAGCGAGGGGAGCAAAUGGGAUUAGAAACCCCUGUAGUCC